rnacentral:rRNA from 1 species
CCUACGGGGUGCAGCAGUGAGGAAUAUUGGUCAAUGGACGCAAGUCUGAACCAGCCAUGCCGCGUGCAGGAAGACGGCUCUAUGAGUUGGAAACUGCGUUUGUACGAGGGUAAACGCAGAUACGCGGAGUUGUCUGAAAGUAUCGUACGAAUAAGGAUCGGCUAACUCCGUGCCAGCAGCCGCGGUAAUACGGAGGAGUCAAGCGUUAUCCUGAUUUAAUGGGUUGUAAGGGUGCGUAGGCGGUCGGAUAAGUUAGAGGUGAAAUCCCGAGGCUCAACUUCGGAAUUGCCUCUGGUACUGUUAGGCUAGAGAGUAGUUGCGGUAGGCGGAAUGUAUGGUGUAGCGGUGAAAUGCUUAGAGAUCAUACAGAACACCGAUUGCGAAGGCAGCUUACCAGGCUACAUCUGACGUUGAGGCACGAAAGCGUGGGGAGCAAACAGGAUUAGAUACCCCAGUAGUC